UGGUGAUGUGUGUACAUGUUUUGGACCCCAAACUUUAGAAAGCUAAACUGUCUACUUUCAAACCCUCGCCCUUUGCUGCCUCAACUAAAAUUCAAUGAGCGCUUAAUGCAGUUGCUCAAUCAAGCCAAGUCCUAAUCUACUGCUUUUGGAACUGGGGCUACGAGAUGUCCAAUGAAAAAAUGCCUAUCAUGAAUUAUGGUGAAUGAAUAAUAUCAAUAAAUGAUUAGGAAUAGCUUAAAGAACAAGAUAACAUCAUCGAUUCCCUUCAUCUUAAAUCCUUCAAUGCCGUUAGCCAUUUUUUAUAGAGGGGUCUGAACUUUCUACACUGCCACAGGCAAUACACAAGGCCUUCCAGAUAGGGACCAACAUCUUCAUAGGUGGAUGCAAUUCCUUAAAAACCAACAUUAAAUCUGCUUCCCCACGUAAAAUAAGGGACAGGCUCCAGUAACAAGUAAUUGGAGUCACACAUUCUAGCAGCACAGGUUUCAAAAUCUUGCCAAUGGGAACAAAGC
rnacentral:misc_RNA from 1 species